UUUAAAACAAAUUUUUGUACUUCAUACUCAGACAGCAACAAAAAUAUCAUCCAGAGUUCGUUAAGACUUUGGUGAACACUAGCCCGGAAACUAAAAAAGCUUCCCGGCAGCCUUGCGACAGGCUCACCAAAGCAACAGGUUAAGAUAAACAAGGUUGGCCAGGUGUGAGAUCAAUCCUCUUUAAAAAGGUUGACCUCCACGGCUUGUUAAUGAUCCUUCCGCAGGUUCACCUACGGAAA
rnacentral:misc_RNA from 1 species